GGGGUGCCAACGGACCCCGAUGACAUCAUCAGCUGGGGAGAAGGAGAUGCUUACUUCUUCAAGGACAACCUCUAUUGGGUGCUGAAGAGAGGAGGACUGGACCAAGAUAAUGUCACUCCAAAAUCCAUUGCGGUGGAUUGGCUCAGGUGUCCACAAGUGUCCAUGCCCACACCCCACCUUCCAGCCAAUCCUCAUCCAAAGGGAAAAGACUGCAGCUGUGACUUGAGCAGAGCAUCUGCAAGGCCCAUUUGUAGUUGGCUGAUCCUGCUAUCUGUCAUGGUAGUAUUCACCAGAUUUGUUUUAAAUUAACGAGUUAAUAAUAAUAGUAUAACACAGUCAUGUCUACUAAGUUGAAUGAUCAUUUGAAAUAUAUGUUUUCAGUAAGGGUGA